GUGCCAGCCGCCGCGGUAAUACGGAGGGUGCAAGCGUUAUCCGGAUUCAUUGGGUUUAAAGGGUGCGCAGGCGGAUACUUAAGUCAGUGGUGAAAUCCCGGGGCUCAACCCCAGAACUGCCAUUGAUACUGAAUAUCUGGAAUACGGUUGAAGUGGGCGGAAUGUAGCAUGUAGCGGUGAAAUGCAUAGAGAUGCUACAGAACACCGAUCGCGAAGGCAGCUCACUAAGCCGAUAUUGACGCUCAGGCACGAAAGCGUGGGGAGCGAACAGGAUUAGAUACCCUGGUAGUCCACGCCGUAAACGAUGAUAACUCGUUGUUGGCGACACACAGUCAGCGACUAAGCGAAAGCGAUAAGUUAUCCACCUGGGGAGUACGAUCGCAAGGUUGAAACUCAAAUGAAUUGACGG
rnacentral:rRNA from 1 species